rnacentral:lncRNA from 8 species
GUUGCAAAGCUAUUUGUGCAGGCUAUCAUCUAGUCAAAUAUUAAUAUAAAUAAAGAUAGCAUUUUACAUAUCAUUUUGUUUUGCUUUUAAAGUUUUAAUAGAUACAAUUGUGUCCACCAAAAAAUACGAAGUGCUUGUGUUAUUGUAGCCUAGUCCGCACGACUAUGAACAGUGCAGCAUUUGGCCACAAGAGCGCGAGCCUGAGCCACACCAGAGGCGGGGAAGAUGACAACAAUCGCGUCCCCUUUAGUCCGAAAGAUUGUGGGUAAAGUAAAGCAUUCCAUUACAAACACUGUCAAAGCCACACCGGAGGCUGUCAACAGCUUACUUCCACACACUUCAGCGUCUCUCCGUCUUACACGAUGAACCCUGACAACCCAGAUAUCGGACACACAGUUGGUUUUUAUUUCAUUUUUCUGUCGUUCGUUCCUGUCAACAUUGUCACCGGCAGCACAAGACCAGGCUCCCAGAACCAGGAUUCAGAGGAAGUCCUCUAUGACAGCCAGCUAGGAGCUCCCAAUUGGAUCCCUAGCAAGAGAGAGA